ensembl:lncRNA
CUGUGCGCCAUGUUUGUGUAAUCGCGAUGCGUGAGGGAACAAACAAGAAGAGAAUGAUUACAGAUGAGAUUUUAUGUACUGCAGACGAUGAAUCAAUAAGUAUAUUUUUAUAUUAGCUUUCUUUAUUCUUAAUUUAGUCUUGCCAUUCCUGCGGCUUUCAUCCUAACGCGGCAGUUCUUGCUAACUGUUAUUCUGAUAUCGGGAUGUGAUCGCGUGUGUGGUGUGGACCAAAAAAAAUUUGGCAUCUGAAAAUACAAUAUUUUAUUUUAACUAAACGAUUUAAGAUUCAAUUUAAUGCUACUGGACAAAAUUCAGAUAUCCGAUCUUGUAAUAUUUAAUGUACGUUACAUAAUCGAUAUUAUAACCACCAGUAAUAAUCGAUAUAUCAGCCACCUCUAGAAAUAAUGCUGUUUCUUCUUCUUCUUCUUCUUCUUUUUUGCAUUUAAAGAGCGAGAUGUUCUGUUACUGCUUGUGUUUGUAAUAUGUAAUAUUUUUGUACUUAUCUGGAGUUAUUCAUUAAUUUUGCAGGAUCAGUACAGUUUUGUUACUGGAGAUAAGUUACAGUGUGGAAACCACUGAUCUAUAAUAUAGAAUAUUAUAUAUUAUAUAUAUAGAUCAGUGGUGGAAACACAGACCAGUGCUGAAGAGGUGAUGUUAGAAGUUUUUAAUGAAUUGUUGCCCAGCCAGCUCGCCUUGAUCACACAUUAUAAGCUAAAAGUGCCAUUAAGUCACUAUCCAUAUGGAUUUUAACUGCUUUGAAUCUUUUCCAUUUGCAAGUAAUAUAUUCCCUCCUGUGCAUUUACAGACCCCCCUCUAAUCAUCUUAUAUUUUACAGGUAACAAACCAAAGGAUGAGGACAGUAGCUUUUCUGUGCCAGCCGUGAUGAAUAAAGUAACAUCCUUCAUGAAGAUGUGUGAGAGAAGCUUGUAAGCCAGGGUCAGUGAAGAUUGUGUGGUCAGUGGAAUUCUGCUGUUUAUGGGAAGCGUAAAGGAACAUCUCCCAGCAUUCUUCUUGAUGAUUGAGGUAUUUUUUCUGACUUUCGUGCCUCUUUGGAACAUUUCCAUUCACACAGACUGUGGAGAGAUGGUCUGCACCUUCAUGACAUUUGAAGUUUACUGCCGAUGAAGAGCUUCUGGGACACUGACAGACAGCACUUCCCAGCAAGUUCAUUUGGAGUUCUUGUUUUAUUAAUUUAUUUAUUUAUUUAUUUAAGUCAAACUUGCAUUCACUAAUGCUGGAGUAAGAUUUUAGAAGAAAACUUUCGGUCCCAUUUAAUGUUGGUGCUAGUAAAAGUUUGAGAACUUAUGGCCUGGUUUCACAGACAGGGCUUAGACUAAGCCAGGAUCAUAGUUCAAUAAGGACAUUUAAGUCAUUUUCAUUAACAUACCUUAGAAAAAAACAUUACUGGUGUGCAUCUUGAGACAAAACAAAGGCACUGAUAUUUUUAAAGAUUAGUCAGUGCAAUUUUCUUUCAGUUGAAACUGCUCAGAAUUACAUUUUUGUCCGGGGCUGAUCUUAAGCCUUGUCUGUGAAACCAGGGGUACAAGUAACACAGUUAGGUAAUGUUUUACAUUAAGGUCUCAUUUGUUGUACAUGGACUGAUAAUGUUCUUGAUUUUUUUUGUAUUAAGUGUUUGUAUGUUAUGGGGACCAAAUGACUCCACAAGGAUAGUAAUACCAGUAAAUUUUGACCUUGUGAACAUUUUGAGGACCCCAAUGAGGAAACAGGCUUAUACAUCUUACAGAAUGAUGUUUUCUGUGAUGGCGAGAUUAGGUACUUUUGUAUGUAAGUGAUUUUGCAUUCUUCUCCAGACUCUUUCUAAUAAGUGAGUUAAAGUGUUGUAACUGUAUAAUGUUGGGUUUUUCUUGUGCAUCAGCAAAAAGCACUUUUGUGUAUUUGUUUUAGAGAUUUUGUCAAUAAAUGUAAAGGGUUUUCCA